rnacentral:rRNA from 1 species
UACGGAAGGCAGCAGUGGGGAAUAUUGCACAAUGGGCGCAAGCCUGAUGCAGCCAUGCCGCGUGUAUGAAGAAGGCCUUCGGGUUGUAAAGUACUUUCAGUCGUGAGGAAGGUGUUAAGGUUAAUAACCUUAGCAAUUGACGUUAGCGACAGAAGAAGCACCGGCUAACUCCGUGCCAGCAGCCGCGGUAAUACGGAGGGUGCGAGCGUUAAUCGGAAUUACUGGGCGUAAAGGGCACGCAGGCGGUUAAUUAAGUUGGAUGUGAAAUCCCCGGGCUUAACCUGGGAAUGGCAUUCAAGACUGGUUAGCUAGAGUCUUGUAGAGGGGGUAGAAUUCCAUGUGUAGCGGUGAAAUGCGUAGAGAUGUGGAGGAAUACCGGUGGCGAAGGCGGCCCCUGGGACAAGGAUUGACGCUCAUGUGCGAAAGCGUGGGGAGCAAACGAGGGAUUAGA